rnacentral:rRNA from 1 species
AACGAACGCUGGCGGCAGGCUUAACACAUGCAAGUCGAGCGCCCCGCAAGGGGAGCGGCCGCCGGGUGAGUAACGCGUGGGAACGUACCUUUUGGUUCGGAACAACUCCGGGAAACUGGAGCUAAUACCGGAUAAGCCCUAACGGGGAAAGAUUUAUCGCCGAAAGAUCGGCCCGCGUCUGGUUAGCUAGUUGGUGAGGUAACGGCUCACCAAGGCGACGAUCAGUAGCUGGUCUGAGAGGAUGAUCAGCCACACUGGGACUGAGACACGGCCCAGACUCCUACGGGAGGCAGCAGUGGGGAAUAUUGGACAAUGGGCGCAAGCCUGAUCCAGCCAUGCCGCGUGAGUGAUGAAGGCCUUAGGGUUGUAAAGCUCUUUUGUCCGGGAAGAUAAUGACUGUACCGGAAGAAUAAGCCCCGGCUAACUUCGUG